GUUACGGAUUAACAGAAAAACGGAAUAAAUAUACACGUAAUUGUAAGUAUCAAUUUUGUUUUUACUUAAGGUUCAUGUGGACCCUUUGGCUAAAAUGGCUGUAUUUUCACCUCAAAAUUACAGACAAAUCUGUGCAUCUGGAAUAGUUUUAAGGCAUAGCAUAUGCGUGAAAUAUUCGUGGAUAAAACGGCAAGUAAUUCAUACAUUGAGAACAACACAAAUGAUUUUCCCAAACA
rnacentral:lncRNA from 1 species